rnacentral:rRNA from 1 species
CCUACGGGAGGCAGCAGUGAGGAAUAUUGGUCAAUGGACGCAAGCCUGAACCAGCCAUGCCGCGUGCAGGAAGACGGCUCUAUGAGUUGUAAACUGCUUUUGUACGAGGGUAAACGCAGAUACGCGUAUCUGUCUGAAAGUAUCGUACGAAUAAGGAUCGUCUAACUCCGUGCCAGCAGCCGCGGUAAUACGGAGGAUUCAAGCGUUAUCCGGAUUUAUUGGGUUUAAAGGGUGCGUAGGCGGUCGGUGAAGUUAGAGGUGAAAUCCCGAGGCUCAACUUCGGAAUUGCCUCUGAUACUGGUAGGCUAGAGGGUAGUUGCGGUAGGCGGAAUGUAUGGUGUAGCGGUGAAAUGCUUAGAUAGCAUACAGAACACCGAUUGCGAAGGCAGCUUACCAAGCUACUACUGACGUUGAGGCACGAAAGCGUGGGGAGCAAACAGGAUUAGAUACCCCGGUAGUC